GUACACUGGUUCUGAUACGAUCACCGAAGUUAAACAACGUCGAGCCUGGCCAGUAUCUAGAUGGGUGACCGCUUGGAAAUCCCAGCUGUUGUAAG